GACAGAGGAUGCAAGCGUUAUCCGGAAUGAUUGGGCGUAAAGCGUCUGUAGGUGGCUUUUCAAGUCCGCCGUCAAAUCCCAGGGCUCAACCCUGGACAGGCGGUGGAAACUACCAAGCUGGAGUAUGGUAGGGGCAGAGGGAAUUUCCGGUGGAGUGGUGAAAUGCAUUGAGAUCAGAAAGAACACCAACGGCGAAAGCACUCUGCUGGGCCGACACUGACACUGAGAGACGAAAGCUAGGGGAGCAAAUGGG
rnacentral:rRNA from 1 species